rnacentral:rRNA from 1 species
GACGAACGCUGGCGGCGUGCCUAAUACAUGCAAGUCGAGCGGACAGAAGGGAGCUUGCUCCCGGAUGUUAGCGGCGGACGGGUGAGUAACACGUGGGUAACCUGCCUGUAGGACUGGGAUAGCUCCGGGAAACCGGAGCUAAUACCGGAUAGUUCCUUGAACCGCAUGGUUCAAGGAUGAAAGACGGUUUCGGCUGUCACUUACAGAUGGACCCGCGGCGCAUUAGCUAGUUGGUGGGGUAAUGGCUCACCAAGGCGACGAUGCGUAGCCGACCUUAGAGGGUGAUCGGCCACACUGGGACUGAAACAAGGCCCAAAGUCCUACGGGAGGCAGCAGUAGGGAAUCUUCCGCAGUGGACGAAAGUCGGACGGAGCAACGCCGCGUGAGUCAUGAAGGUUUUCGGAUCGUAAAGCUCUGUUGUUAGGGAAGAACAAGUGCGAGAGGAACUGCUCGCACCUUGACGGUACCUAACCAGAAAGCCACGGCUAACUACGUGCCAGCAGCCGCCGCGGUAA